AAGCUGGAAAAGUGAUUUAAGCAUUUUGGUUGAACAUUUGCACUAAAAUAUAUUUAGCAAAAUUAUUAAAUGAUUCAAGGAUUAACUCAGCGAUAUUAACUAUUGUGCCACUUUUUUGAAGAAGUAAACUUUAUGUUUCAAAAAAUAGAGUAUAUGUGAUGUUCUUGAAGCUAUAUUUAGACAAGAAGCGGGACAUUUAAGAAGAAAACGUGGUAGAAUCAAUAAUGGUUUUAUUAAAUUAAAAAAGUAUAAAGCUUAUACAUUUAUAACAAGUGAGAACACAUACAUAAUAAAAGAUAUUUAUUUUAAUAUA